rnacentral:misc_RNA from 1 species
GACAACUGAGGUGUGCCGAACUCUGUUCAGCUCCUUUCAAAUGCAUUAGCGGGAAAUAUUCAUUUCGGCUUUGGUUUGAUAAGUCUUUCUAUGCCUAUGCUGAAGAGAUGUUUUCGCUUCCAACUGUCCCUUGGACUGUCUCUCGAGACAAACUCUUUGAAUUUGGCCUCAAAUCAGGUAGGACUACCCGCUGAACUUAA